rnacentral:rRNA from 1 species
UACGAAGGGGGCUAGCGUUGCUCGGAAUCACUGGGCGUAAAGCGCACGUAAGCGGCUUGUUAAGUCAGGGGUGAAAUCCUGGAGCUCAACUCCAGAACUGCCUUUGAUACUGGCGAGCUUGAGUUCGGGAGAGGUGAGUGGAACUGCGAGUGUAGAGGUGAAAUUCGUAGAUAUUCGCAAGAACACCAGUGGCGAAGGCGGCUCACUGGCCCGAUACUGACGCUGAGGUGCGAAAGCGUGGGGAGCAAACAGGG